UACGUAGGGGGCUAGCGUUGUCCGGAAUCAUUGGGCGUAAAGCGCGCGUAGGCGGCCAGAUAAGUCCGGUGUGAAAGUCACAGGCUCAACCUGUGAAUGCCGCUGGAAACUGUCUGGCUUGAGUCCGGAAGGGGCGAGUGGAAUUCCUGGUGUAGCGGUGAAAUGCGCAGAUAUCAGGAGGAACACCAAUGGCGAAGGCAGCUCGCUGGAACGGUACUGACGCUGAGGCGCGAAAGCUAGGGGAGCAAACAGG
rnacentral:rRNA from 1 species